rnacentral:lncRNA from 1 species
UGAUUUUAUGGAAACAUAUUUUCUAUUUAUAGUAACUGUCUUAUGUUUUUAUUUCCUAUUGUAGAAAAAUAACACCUUCUUUACCUGUUUCAAAUAUAUACAUAAUGCUGACAUGUCAAUUUUCUCUCAUCUUUCUCAAAUUGCCUAGCAUAUAUCAGAGAAUUAAUACCAUAAAAGCAAUUACAAAAGGGGUAGUUAUAGCAAUAGGAAAACUCCAUCUAAAUAAAACUUAACAUACGAUUGGUAAAAUACAAUUAAAGAGUUGUAAUUAAUUAUGUUAGUUCUUUUCAGAAAAUAUGAAGAUAAUAGACAUACACAAUAUUUAUCUAAUUCCAAAUAAGUUGUUUUGAUUUGGGUAACUAAGCUUCUUAACCUUCUCAUUAUACAGAGAUAGAACAUAGGUUGGAACUUAACAGUCCAAUGCUUUAGUUAAAACUUUU